GAUGAACGCUAGCUACAGGCUUAACACAUGCAAGUCGAGGGGCAGCAGGAGCAAAGCUUGCUUUGCUUGCUGGCGACCGGCGCACGGGUGCGUAACGCGUAUCGAACCUGCCCUAUACUCGGGGAUAGCCUUGCGAAAGUAAGAUUAAUACCCGAUGUUGUUAUUACAUCGCAUGAUGUUUUAACCAAAGAUUUAUCGGUAUAGGAUGGCGAUGCGUGACAUUAGGUAGUAGGUGAGGUAACGGCUCACCUAGCCUACGAUGUCUAGGGGUUCUGAGAGGAAGGUCCCCCACACUGGAACUGAGACACGGUCCAGACUCCUACGGGAGGCAGCAGUGAGGAAUAUUGGUCAAUGGUCGAAGGACUGAACCAGCCAUGCCGCGUGAAGGUGACGGCCCUAUGGGUCUUAAAACUUCUUUUUGUAAAGGGGAGCAAAUAAGGUCUACGUGUAGAUUGAUGAGAGUACCUUACGAAUAAGCAUCGGCUAAACUCCGUG
rnacentral:rRNA from 1 species